GAUGAGAGGCCCCUGCGAUGGGGAUCUGUGAACCUGGUCAGGGCCUAACCGCAGCAGCCAUAAGCAGUCGUCCCUUUGUGCGGUGGGCCUCUCAUCGGC
rnacentral:SRP_RNA from 1 species